UCCCCGGCAGUUCCAGCUCCGAUCCGCAUACUACUCUACACUAAUCACUGCCUUCGGCUUUUUUCGUAAUCCGAUCUUCAAGCUGUUUGACCCGGAUUGACCUUUCGUUGCUACUGAAGCAAAUAUGGCUGCACAUUGAUGAAAGGAUAUAUUUUACCAACUACCAGUAAAUGUGGACAAACACAAAUAAAACGGUGACACAAUAGAUAACAGCACAGUGCUCAGAUUGAAUCAGAAUGAAUAAAACAAAAAGUUUUUAUUAGCUUCAUCAACCAGAAGAACUUCGCACACAAUUAUUGAUUUAGUUUCCUUGAAGAUUUUAACAGUAAUUGUUAAAACUUGAAAUCAGACAGAAUGAAACUUUGAGAAAAUUUACAUACAUGUAUAUAUACAGUGU